rnacentral:rRNA from 1 species
CCCUUAGAUGUUCUGGGCCGCACACGCGCUACACUGAAGGAGGCAGCGUGUACUCCUGGAUCGAAAGAUUUGGGUAACCCGCGAAUCUCCUUCGUGCUAGGGAUUGAGGUUUGCAAUUAUCCUUCAUGAACGAGGAAUUCCCAGUAAGUGCAAGUCAUAAGCUUGCGCUGACUACGUCCCUGCCCAUUGUACACACCGCCCGUCGCUACUACCGAUUGAAUGAUUUAGUGAGGACUUCGGACUGGGACCGAUGCGGCUUUCGGGCUGCGUCGGUAUUCUGGAAAGAUGUCCAAACUGUAUCAUUUAGAGGAAGUAAAAGUCGUAACA